UACAGAGGUCCCAAGCGUUGUUCGGAUUCACUGGGCGUAAAGGGCGCGUAGGCGGUCUUUUAAGUCGGGGGUGAAAGCCUGUGGCUCAACCACAGAAUUGCCUUCGAUACUGGGAGACUUGAGUUCGGAAGAGGUUGGUGGAACUGCGAGUGUAGAGGUGGAAUUCGUAGAUAUUCGCAAGAACACCGGUGGCGAAGGCGGCCAACUGGUCCGACACUGACGCUGAGGCGCGAAAGCGUGGGGAGCAAACAGG
rnacentral:rRNA from 1 species